rnacentral:lncRNA from 1 species
AUACCUUAAAACUAGAUUGAGACAAUAAUUUGAAAACAUAAAAACUCUGUUUGCUCACAGUUAAUACAAACUCUAUCUAUAUAAAAGAACUCAUCUUGAUAAAGUGAUAUAUCUCAUUAUAUUGUUUCUCUAAUCCCCUAUUUUCUCUUCAUGAUCUUUUAUGGUGUUCCUCACACAGUCUCACUUCUACUCGACUACUCACAUAUUUAAAUCUUUGUCAUGACUCAUAAUUAACCUUGUCAUCUUUUUUUCUCUCCCACCUCAUCUCUUUUAUUUUUCACGUUCAACAUUUUUCCUCUG